CGCGUGAGGAACCUGCCUUUCAGAGGGGGACAACAGUUGGAAACGACUGCUAAUACCGCAUAACACAUAGGUGUCGCAUGGUAUCUGUGCCAAAGAUUUAUCGCUGAGAGAUGGCCUCGCGUCUGAUUAGCUAGUUGGUGAGGUAACGGCCCACCAAGGCGACGAUCAGUAGCCGGACUGAGAGGUUGGCCGGCCACAUUGGGACUGAGAUACGGCCCAGACUCCUACGGAAGGCAGCAG
rnacentral:rRNA from 1 species